rnacentral:rRNA from 1 species
GGAAAUCUCACCAGGCCCGGACACUGGAAGGAUUGACAGAUUGAUAGCUCUUCUUGAUUCGGUGGGUGAUGGUGCAUGGCCGUUCUUAGUUGGUGGAGCGAUCUGUCUGGUUAAUUCCGAUAACGAACGAGACCCCAACCUGCUAACUAGCCCUCGGGUCCUGCUUCUGUUGGGCCCGACGGAAUGAUUCGCUUCUUAGAGGGACUCGCGGCGCCUAGCCGCACGAAGGGGGGCGAUAA